rnacentral:rRNA from 1 species
GAGCCUGCGUCCCAUUAGCUAGACGGUGGGGUAACGGCCUACCGUGGCAACGAUGAAUAGCAGGCCUGAGAGGGUGGCCUGCCACACUGGGACUGGAACACGGCCCAGACUCCUACGGGAGGCAGCAGUGGGGAAUAUUGCGCAAUGGACGAAAGUCUGACGCAGCGACGCCGCGUGGAGGAUGAAGGUUUUCGGAUCGUAAACUCCUGUCAAGAGGGAAGAAACCUGUUGAACUUAAUACGUUCAGCAAUUGACGGUACCUCUAGAGGAAGCACCGGCUAAUUCAGUGCCAGCAGCCGCGGUAAUACUGAAGGUGCAAGCGUUAAUCGGAAUCACUGGGCGUAAAGCGCUCGUAGGUGGCUUUGUAAGUCAGGUGUGAAAGCCCACGGCUCAACCGUGGAAUUGCACUUGAUACUGCAUCGCUAGAGUACAGGAGAGGGAAGUGGAAUUUCUGGUGUAGGGGUGAAAUCCGUAGAGAUCAGGAGGAACACCCGUGGCGAAGGCGACUUCCUGGACUGUUACUGACACUGAGGAGCGAAAGCGUGGGGAGCAAACAGGAUUAGAUACCCUGGCAGUCACGCCGUAAACGAUGGAUA